UACGUAGGCAGCGAGCGUUGUUCGGAGUUACUGGGCGUAAAGGGUGUGUAGGCGGUUCUCUAAGUUUGGUGUGAAAUCUCCCGGCUCAACCGGGAGGGUGCGCCGGAAAACUGGGGGGACUAGAGUGCGGGAUGGGGAGAGUAGAAUUCCUGGGUGUAGCGGUGAAAUGCGUAGAUAUCAGGAGGAACACCGGUGGCGAAGGCGGGUCUCCUGGGCCGAUAC
rnacentral:rRNA from 1 species